UACGUAGGGUGCGAGCGUUAAUCGGAAUUACUGGGCGUAAAGUGUGCGCAGGUGGCCGCGCAAGUCGAGUGUGAAAUCCCCGAGCUUAACUUGGGAAUUGCGCUCGAAACUACGUGGCUCGAGUGUGGCAGAGGAAGGUGGAAUUCCACGUGUAGCGGUGAAAUGCGUAGAUAUGCGGAGGAACACCAGUGGCGAAGGCGGCCACCUGGACCGUCCCUGACGCUCAAACACGAAAGCUAGGGUAGCGAACGGG
rnacentral:rRNA from 1 species